AGCAGGGGCAGGAAUUGACUGGCCGCGGGGGAGGGGCAUCAAGCUACUCACAAGUUUAUUUUGUUGGAUCGUGUGACUUCCAGUAUAACUGAUUUCCUGUCCUGUUUUCAACAAUUCCUUUGCAUUUGAUCCAGCAGUGAGGAUUGCCUUUUGCUGCAUUUAUCUUGGCUGUGAAUCCAGCCCUUAGUGUCCUGUGUUCCAGUCAUUGCUUGUGUGUAGAAGUUGACUCACAGAUAUUCACUAUGUGUAUUAUGUUGUGUCAUCUUACAUUCUUCCCAAGGGCAAAAAUCUUUUGCAAUAAUGGAGGUUUGGGCUGAUGAGCAUCCAAAAGUUCUGCAGCCACUGUUCAAGUCCACAUUCCUGCAUCUGUGUGCAAAACUCACCAAAAUAAAAGCUACACUGAUAAUGGAGAAGCAAAUAUAGAUUGCACUAUGGGGACCUGCAACACCAGAUUCUUAUUGGUCAAUGUCAUAAAUAUCAAGGGAAGGCUAACCACCUUUAAAUCCCUCCU